rnacentral:rRNA from 1 species
GACGAACGCUGGCGGCGUGCUUAACACAUGCAAGUCGAACGGAAAGGCCCCUUUGGGGGUCCUCGAGUGGCGAACGGGUGAGUAACACGUGAGUAACCUGCCCUUGACUUCGGGAUAACUUCAGGAAACUGGGGCUAAUACCGGAUAGGAAUCCUUGCUGCAUGGGGGGGGUUGGAAAGCUUCGGCGGUUUUGGCUGGACUCGCGGCUUAUCAGCUUGUUGGUGGGGUAGUGGCUUACCAAGGCUUUGACGGGUAGCCGGCCUGAGAGGGCGACCGGCCACAUUGGGACCGAGAUACGGCCCAGACUCCUACGGGUGGCAGCAGUGGGGAAUAUUGCACAAUGGGCGGAAGCCUGAUGCAGCAACGCCGCGGGCGGGAUGACGGCCUUCGGGUUGUAAACCGCUUUCAGCAGGGGCGAAGCUUGUGGUGACGGUACCUGCAGAAGAAGCACCGGCUAACUACGUG